UAAAAAAGUAAUUUAUUUGUAAACAUUUUUAAAGUACUUGUUACAAAACUCUGUGCACAUGUAAAAAAAUAUAGUAAGUGCUCGAACCAAAAAAUUACCGUAAUACGUGAAAAAAAUAAUUUAAAUAUACUCGAAAAUAAAAUUCAAAUAUUUGUAUAAAUUUUUAUAGUGUUUGUAAAAAAUUCUGUGUGCUUGGCAUUCUCCUUCUUUUGAUUAUUUAGUUUGUUGUUGUUUUUAAGAAGUUUAGUCAUGUUUGUAAAGGAUUUAACGUAUUAGUUUAAAAGUGUUGCAUAAUUGUAAAAAAUACGUGUCAAUUAAAAAACUUUAAAAAGUAUUUAAUUCAAGACUUCAUAUAAUUAAUUUGAUACAUCUUUAUAUUUCUUUUAUUCUUUCUUACCUUCAAUUGGUUGCUUUUUGUACAUACUUCUUUCUACAACAAAAAACGUUAAAAAUCGUAGAAGAUGGAAAAGUGAAAAGAUGCAUCUUUACACUACAACCAAGAAUUCUGCUAUGACAAAUAGUCUACAUUGAUAUGAGUGGUUACGCUCACGCCGCAAAGCCACUGGUCCGAGUAGACGUGGACCAGUUUUUUUAGUUUUGUUUAUUAUUUUUUUAGUAAAAAACACACCAUUUAUUAAACUACGCAUUCCAAGCGAGGUUAAAAAUCUAGUAAACCUACACACUCGUCGAGAGUCGUUUUUGUUGUUUAGUACAGUCUUGUCACGCACUUGUGAUUUGUAAAAAUGUCUGGGACUUAAACAGAAAAAACGGCUCUCGAUGAGUCUAAAAGUUUAUCAACCCUUUAACCUCCCUUGGAGCACGUAGUUUAAUAGAUGGUGUGUAAAAAAAACUUACCUUAAAAAGAUCAUAAACAAAACUUAACAAAAGCAGUCCCGUCCACGUCGACUCGGGCCCGAGUCUUCACCUAAUGGCGUGGUUAUGUUUCAAGAAAGUGGGUUAUUUACAAAAACACACGCGUUGAUUCUGGUAAAAAGACGAGAAAGUAACAUUUUAGAAUCAGUCGUCUCGGCCGUACCCUCUGUUCUGUGUGUUCCA
rnacentral:rRNA from 1 species